GAUGAACGCUGGCGGCGUGCUUAACACAUGCAAGUCGAACGAUGAACCCGGAGCUUGCUCCGGUGGAUUAGUGGCGAACGGGUGAGUAACACGUGAGUAACCUGCCCUUGACUCUGGGAUAACUGCGGGAAACUGUAGCUAAUACCGGAUACGACCCUCGGCGGCAUCGCCAGGGGGUGGAAAGAAUUUCGGUCAAGGAUGGACUCGCGGCCUAUCAGCUAGUUGGUGAGGUAACGGCUCACCAAGGCGACGACGGGUAGCCGGCCUGAGAGGGUGACCGGGCACACUGGGACUGAGACACGGCCCAGACUCCUACGGGAGGCAGCAGUGGGGAAUAUUGCACAAUGGGCGCAAGCCUGAUGCAGCAACGCCGCGUGAGGGAUGACGGCCUUCGGGUUGUAAAGCUCUUUCGGCAGGGAAGAAACGCUCUGGAUUAAUACUCCGGGGUAAUGACGGUACCUGAAGAAGAAGCACCGGCUAAC
rnacentral:rRNA from 1 species